CUUUACUGUAACCUGACAUUGGGUUCUGAUAUAGCACGUACAGGAUAGGUGGGAGGCAUGGAAGCGGUCACCUCAGUGACCGUGGAGCCGCCGUUGGGAUACCACCCUUGGUGUAUCGGAAUUCUAACCGGGCAUGACAAGUGCCGGGACAUUGUCAGGCAGGCAGUUUGACUGGGGCGGUCGCCUCCUAAAGAGUAACGGAGGCGCCCAAAGGUUCCCUCAGCGCGGCUGGAAAUCGCGCGAAGAGUGUAAAGGCAGAAGGGAGCUUGACUGCGAGCCAAACACGGCGAGCAGGUACGAAAGUAGGGCUUAGUGAUCCGGUGGCGUCCAAGUGGAAGGGCCAUCGCUCAACGGAUAAAAGCUA
rnacentral:rRNA from 1 species